AGGUUAUUGGAACAGACUUUCCUGCCUAUUCUUUGGCUGAUGAAAUUUGGUUGCAUGCUGCAUAUCUGCAUUAUUUGUCACCUAAAUUCUAUGUUUUUGUGGUUCUAGAUAUUGUUAAUGGUAUAGUUUUCUUACCCCCCAUCCCCAAUACCAUAAUAGAUGCGAUCUCCAAGGUUCCUCCAAAUACAUGGAAUAACUUGAAAA